rnacentral:tRNA from 1 species
GCCUGGGUGGCUCAGUCAGUUGAGCGUCCGACUUAGGCUCAGGUCAUGAUCUCACAGUUCAUGGGUUCGAGUCCCACGUCAGGCU